rnacentral:tRNA from 1 species
GGGCUCAUAGCUCAGCCGGUUAGAGCACUACUUUGAUAAGGUAGGGGUCGAAAGUUCGAAUCUUUCUGGGCCCA